CAAAAAUGCAAUGUUAGACAUAAUACUAUUCACACCAGUGUUUUAGGAAUACACCACUAUAUACAAAAGAAUUGGCUCAAGCCCAAUAUUAUUACUCACUUCAGUAACCCACAACAUUCUCCUCCUAUUUUAUUUUCUUCAUCAUUCGGUAAUGUGACGCUCUCCAAUCUCUCCCUCUCCCUUCGUCGCCGCCGCCAGAUUUCCUCUUACAACCACCGCAAGCCAAUCCUCCUUUGACCAAUUUUUUUUCGUUUUUUUCAUCUUCUCAACUGUCUAUCUAUCUAUCGGAACAAAAUCACCAAAUGAAUAUUCUUCUUUCUCACCUAACCAUCACUGUCAAAAGCUCCAUUUUUUAACAUAUUGGAGCUAUUCCGCAGAGUUAAUUACCGGAUCUGUAAUCCUCCUCAUAAGUACUCUCUGUUGGACUGCGUUAUUUCACGAUGUAGACACCGUUGUCGAUGACCACCGUGUCGGAAGUCAUCAUGGCCGCCGCGAGGGUUAUUUUUUACCUCAUUUUUUCAUAUAAGAUCGAUGCAUCAUGAAUCUUCCGAGGACGCGAAGCAAAGAAUGAGUUAAAACAGUUGUAAAGCGGAGGCAGUUCAAGAUUUUCUCCUCAAAGACCCAACUUUCAAGAUCAGUAUUUGAUGUUGAUAAUAGCCCGAAAUCUUUGCUGCUUUUAAGUGGAAUAACAAUGUGCCUGGUUUAUAUGAAUUAAAGGCUCUAGAAAUCAUUGCAAAGAUGUAACAAAAAAAACUCAAUGCAAAGGAAGAGAAUGGCAAGAGGAAAUGAAGAUUGGUCAUUGAGUUCUCUGCCUAA